UACAGAGGGUGCGAGCGUUAAUCGGAAUUACUGGGCGUAAAGCGCGCGUAGGCGGCUUUUCAAGUCGAUUGUGAAAUCCCCGGGCUUAACCUGGGAACUGCAGUCGAGACUGUCUAGCUAGAGUAUGGGAGAGGGAAGUGGAAUUUCAGGUGUAGCGGUGAGAUGCGUAGAUAUCUGAAGGAACAUCAGUGGCGAAAGCGACUUCCUGGACCAAUACUGACGCUCAUGUGCGAAAGCGUGGGGAGCAAACAGG
rnacentral:rRNA from 1 species